UCCAUGAGCAGCUCAGCAGGGUGGCCUCCAGCUUGACCUGUCCUGAGGUUGCAGUCAAGCUGUUGGUGGGGCAUGCAGUCCUCUGAGGCAGCAUUGCUUCCAAGCUGACGGUGGUUUUAAGAUCAGGCCACUCAAGAUGGCUGCUCUCUUGCUCUGUCCACAUCAGCAGUCCCCAACCACUUUGGAACCAGAGACCAGUUUCCUGGAAGACAAUUUUUCCACGGAUAGGGGGGCAGGGGCGGGGCUUCAGAAUAAUUCAAGUGCGUUACAUUUAUUGAGCUCAUUGAGCAGGAAGCAGAGCUCAGGCAGUAACUGUGAAGACAAAGCUUCUGUUGCUUGUUGGCCUCUCACCUCCUACUGUGUGGCCAGGUCUAGGCUGGGGAAAAGAAAGUGUUAGUGGCUCAGUCGUGUCCCACUCUUGGCAACCCCGUGGACUGUAGCCUGCCAGGCUCCUCUGUGCAUGGGAUUCUCCAGGCAAGAAUACUGGAGUGGGUUGCCAGGCCCCAGGUGCUGAUUGUUCUAAUCAUUAGAUCAGACCCCUCUACUCAGUUUAAAAGGAGCGGGCUUUCUGCUGGUUUUCCUGGUAACUGAUGAGCACACCUGAUGUCAGUUCCCUUGUAACUGGUAACCUCCCUUUGCCCCUGCUACCAAAGACUGCACGUCUUGCCCUGGUGUCUUUGCUGCUGUCUAUCGACUUGAUGGGGUGUUGCUCCAGGAUCCUGCUUCAGAUAAAUAAGCUCCCCCAUCCAUUAAAACAUUAAUGUCCCUGUUGCUGCCUUAGAGCUCUUUCUUCAGUCUUGAGGCUGGUAGGUGUGGCGCAAGGUCUGAGGACAACUUCUCAGUGAUCCUUGAAACACCUGACACCAGUCAGGACCACACUGACAGCCACAGAGCCAGAUGGUUACCAAAGUCCACUCCUGUGCAGCCAUCUGCAGUCCGCUAGAUCUUCAGUAAAGGAGUAGAGACACCCCCAGGAGGUUGAGACAAGAGACCCUGCAUGCUACUGGGGACACUGGAGGAUUGGCGGUGCCUGCACUGGUGUUGCACGGGGUGCCUAUCAGUGCUUUAGGACCUGAGUCUCAUUCUCCAGGAUCCCCUGGCACCAGAAAAUGGUUUCCAAACUGUGGAUGACUCUAUUGGUUGACUGUGCUAAGAUUGCUUCCUGUGCAGUAUUUGCUGAGUGGAGGUGCUGAAUAACUUGAAAAGUACAGCUCCUCAUGCAGUUAAAUGAGUUCGUGGUAACAGAUGCCUGAAAGGAUGAGGGUUAUAGAUACCUCUGCUGGGUAAUCCCUUUGGAAGUCCCCAGAAAUUUCCUUGGUCAGAUCUAGAGCCCUGUUAACUGUAUCAGUGCUGAGUAGCUGGAGGAAAUUAUGACUGUGCUGUCUUCACAGUUCUAGCUACCAUGAUCUCACUCUAUAUUUUUUGACUGACUACUAUUAAAAAAAGUAGAUGGCUUUUUGACUGGUAAUUGGAUAAUUGGGUAAACUUCCAAUCAAAGAGUAGAUUGUAGAUUGAAAGCAGAAGAG
ensembl:lncRNA